UAUCUCAGGCUUAGCCGGUCUUGCUCAGUGACAUGCCAGGUGCCAGGCCUGGAAUCCCUGCCACCUCCUCCUGCCAGCUAGCGGGACUCCUGGGGCUGUGAAGGCUGUUGGUGCCAAGCGAGGGCAGUCCCAGGACGGGCUGGCAGUCUGGACCGAGGGGACCACACAGUCACCAGCAGACCUGAUAACAAAGAAUGCAGAGCCACCAGGAGACAGUAAAGCCCACGUCGGAGCACUUGGAAUGUGGCCGUUUGUGACGUGCGGAACGGAACCCCUCAGUUCAGCUGAUUUUUAUUUAACUUAAAGGCCACCCUCUGCAGCUUGGAUCACUGUCUCAGGCCAAGCCCAGGGUUUGGGGUUACUACACUGCACCCCAGGAAGGGAAGAGGAGCAUCAAAGCCAGAGGCCCUGCUUGUCGCGGAGGCAGUGCUCAGCCUGAAUCCCAGGCCAGGCGCUCACAGAAGGCUUGGAUGACAUCAACCGACUUCACUGUCACGGUCAUCACCAGGAACAACACACACCUUACAAAGCAGGAGACUGGAGUUGGGCGAGCCGGAGCCUCUGUCACUUGCCUGAGGGACAGGGGACAGCGCUGACUCAUGUCAUGGCCACCAGCACUGCCGACCAUUCUCUGUCUGCCACAGACAUCUCUGAAGGAGUGCCACGCACUCUGUUCCCAGCUAGAGUGCCAGGUUAUUCCCUGAGUGGUCUACAGGGGGCACUGGCUUGAGGGCUGCGUGACCAACCUGCCCAACAGUCCUGGAAUUUACCAUUCAAUCAGCCCAGUUAUGCUGUCAAAAGUGAAUUCCCAAUGUCUCCCUUCUAGCUCCUCCCCCUCUGUCCCUCCUCCACAAGAUCUGUCCCCCAAACAAACAAGACCUCCCACAGAUGCAGUCUGUGGGUCUACUUCUCUCUACCUUCAGCCUAUUCCAAGGUGAGUGGGCGCCGCCAUACCCGCCUGUCACCUGGCCCACCCUACCCCACAAGCCAAUCCACAGAACUGUAAAAUCUGUACCCAUUGAUUGAUUGAUAAAAUCUGUACAGAUUGAUUGAUUCUGUAAAAUCAACAGGUAGCUUUUGCACUGGUUUCCAAAACUACGAGCCACGCCCUCUUUCCAACUAUGAAAUGUGGAGAGCAGAUGCCCUCAGUCUGACCCCAAACGGAGGUCGAGUUCCUCUCUACCUCUGGAGGAUUGGAGCACGCCUGUAAUCUUAGCAUUCCAGGGGUAGAGGCAGGAAAGGAGUUUAAGGACAGCCCUGGCUACAGAGCAAGUUGAGGGCCAGCCUGGGCUACAGAGAGGACCCUGCUGACCCUGUGGCUCCAUUCCAAAAGGCAGCAGUUCCAACUUGACUACUUUGUGCCUCACCGAUACUGCUUUGAUAAAGAGGGCCAGAGGCCACUGGAUUCUAA